CCUACGGGUGGCAGCAGUGAGGAAUAUUGGUCAAUGGGCGCGAGCCUGAACCAGCCAAGUCGCGUGAGGGAUGAAGGUUCUAUGGAUUGUAAACCUCUUUUAUAAGGGAAUAAAGUGUGGGACGUGUCCUAUUUUGUAUGUACCUUAUGAAUAAGGAUCGGCUAACUCCGUGCCAGCAGCCGCGGUAAUACGGAGGAUCCGAGCGUUAUCCGGAUUUAUUGGGUUUAAAGGGUGCGUAGACGGCCUGUUAAGUCAGUGGUGAAAGUCUGCGGCUCAACCAUAGAAUUGCCGUUGAUACUGGGGGACUUGAGUAUGUUUGAGGUAGGCGGAAUGCGUGGUGUAGCGGUGAAAUGCUUAGAUAUCACGAAGAACCCCGAUUGCGAAGGCAGCCUGCUAAGCCGUGACUGACGCUGAUGCACGAAAGCGUGGGGAUCAAACAGGAUUAGAUACCCGUGUAGUC
rnacentral:rRNA from 1 species